rnacentral:rRNA from 1 species
CCUGGUGGCGAUAGCGGCGGAGUCAUACCCGUUCCCAUUCCGAACACGGAAGUCAAGCCCGCCAGCGCCGAUGGUACUUGGGGGGCGACCCCCUGGGAGAGUAGGUCACCGCCAGGC